GACGAACGCUGGCGGCGUGCUUAACACAUGCAAGUCGAACGGAAAGGCCCUGCUUUUGUGGGGUGCUCGAGUGGCGAACGGGUGAGUAACACGUGAGUAACCUGCCCUUGACUUUGGGAUAACUUCAGGAAACUGGGGCUAAUACCGGAUAGGAGCUCCUGCUGCAUGGUGGGGGUUGGAAAGUUUCGGCGGUUGGGGAUGGACUCGCGGCUUAUCAGCUUGUUGGUGGGGUAGUGGCUUACCAAGGCUUUGACGGGUAGCCGGCCUGAGAGGGUGACCGGCCACAUUGGGACUGAGAUACGGCCCAGACUCCUACGGGAGGCAGCAGUGGGGAAUAUUGCACAAUAGGCGGAAGCCUGAUGCAGCAACGCCGCGUGUGGGAUGACGGCCUUCGAGUUGUAAACCGCUUUCGCCUGUGACGAAGCGUGAGUGACGGUAAUGGGUAAAGAAGCACCGGCUAACUACGUG
rnacentral:rRNA from 1 species